AUUGAACGCUGGCGGCAUGCCUUACACAUGCAAGUCGAACGGCAGCACGGGAGCAAUCCUGGUGGCGAGUGGCGAACGGGUGAGUAAAGUAUCGGAACGUGCCCAGUCGUGGGGGAUAACGUAGCGAAAGUUACGCUAAUACCGCAUACGAUCUAUGGAUGAAAGCGGGGGAUCGCAAGACCUCGCGCGAUUGGAGAGGCCGAUAGCAGAUUAGGUAGUUGGUGGGGUAAAGGCUCACCAAGCCGACGAUCUGUAGCUGGUCUGAGAGGACGACCCGCCACACUGGGACUGAGACACGGCCCAGACUCCUACGGGAGGCAGCAGUGGGGAAUUUUGGACAAUGGGCGAAAGCCUGAUCCAGCCAUGCCGCGUGCAGGAUGAAGGCCUUCGGGUUGUAAACUGCUUUUGUACGGAACGAAAAGGUUUGGCCUAAUAAGCUGAGCUCAUGACGGUACCGUAAGAAUAAGCACCGGCUAACUACGUGCCAGCAGCCGCGGUAA
rnacentral:rRNA from 1 species